CUAAAAGUACAAAAAAAAUCAGAGCUAAUUGUUCCUUUAAAUUUAUGUAUGUUGUAGAUAAAGUCUUAAAAUAUUAUUCAAGAUAUUCUUAAUCAACUAUAACAAAAAGGUCAACGACAGUUUUUGCCUCUGUUUCGAUUCCGCAUGACGCAUGCUGUUUUAUAGGUACAACUACAACUUACAAGUGGCAUGAAAACGGGGCUAACAAAGAACACUAGCGUGGUAAAAUGUUUGAACGGUUUCACGUUUUUUGUGUGAGUCUUAGUUGGACAUGUGAAACUUUUUUUUAAGGGUUGUUGUUCCUUCAAGAAGUCCACCAAUGAGUAUUGGUCAGUCAGAUUCCAGAAUGGCUUCCCCUACUCUUUCUUUGCCAGACUCGACAGCCUUUAGUUCUAUGUCGGUCAGUACUGACCACAGCUUGGAGGAUAGCCCUUCCACAAAGUGUCCUCUUUGUCAAGAAAUGUAUACCAUCCCCAAAGUAUUACCAUGUCUUCACACAUUCUGUCAGCCUUGUCUUGAGAAGAUUCAAGAAUCUCCAGAUAAGAUCAAGUGCCCACAUUGUCAAGAAGAAUGCCUAUUGACAGCUCAAGGUGUGUCUGGUCUUCUCUCAGAUUAUGCCAUUAGCAAUAUUUUGGAGGUAAAUGCUAUGGAAGCAACAUCACUUUCAUGUACUGGCUGCAGAACUAAAGAAAACAAUGCAGUUGCUCGCUGUUUUGAUUGUGCCAACUUCUUGUGCUCAAACUGUGUGAUGGCUCAUCAGUUCAUGCACUGCUUUGAGGGACAUAGGGUUCUCACUUUGGGAGAGUUGCAGAGUAGUAAGGAUGGCACUAAGGCUGAGAAACCUAUCUUUUGCUCCCGACACAGAAAUGAAACUUUGGAGUACUACUGUCGAACAUGUAAUAUUCUCAUUUGCAAGGACUGUGCUAUUGUUGAACAUCCAAAAGGCUUACACAGUUUUGACCACUUGGAUGAAAUUGGGCAUAAGCAGGUUGAGUUUAUGAAUUGUUUGAUUGAAGAUUCCAAGUUGAAGAGCACAGACUUGCAGAAUAAUUUGAAAACAAUAGAGCAUUCUACCAAUAGUAUUCAAGUCCAGUAUGAAAAAGCACAAAAAGAAAUCAAAGACACUUACCAAUUUUACUUCUCAGUUUUAGAAGAAAGGAAGAGGGAGAUUUUGAAAGAACUUGAUGAUGCUUAUAACUCAAAAAUAGUUACUAUAUCAAUGCUUGGUCAGAAAGUUCAAGAGAAUGUUGACAAAAUUAUUGGGAUGUGUGAGUUUGUGGAAAAAAUAAUGAAGUUCUCAAGCAAUGCAGAAAUACUUAUGUUUAAGCAAUUGUUGUCUUCAAAAUUUGAAAAUAUUCUUGGAUUCAAUCCAGUUAUUGGGUUAAAUUCAUUCGAUCUUGAAUUUGUAUCUAAUUAUCAGGCCAUCCAAGUUGGAGUGCGAAAUACAUUUGGUUAUCUUCGGCAAAAUUCAGAACUGCAAACAGAAGUCAAGCCACAACCAAUUGCUAGGCCAAAUUGUUUAAUUAGAUCAGAACGAUCUUAUCAAAAUGGCCAUAUGCUUGAAUCCCACAUAAUUUCUAAACAAUUUGGAUCUGCUAACACUUCUGGUUCUUUUCUGACUAAUCUGGGAGAUCUAAGUUCUUAUGAGAAAUGGUCAAAUGCCCCUAGUGACAUAUUUCAAAAUAGUUCAGAUACUUUCUUGGUUUCAAGUGACCCUCUUUUUGACUUGUCAUCAAAAUUAGUAAGCUCAAACAUCUUUCCUUUAAAGUCUCAAAUAAAGCGUCAGAAGAUGAUUUACCAUUGCAAGUUUGGGGAGUUUGGAGUAAUGGAGGGUCAGUUUACAGAACCAAGUGGUGUAGCUGUGAAUGCUCAGAGUGAUAUCAUAGUAGCCGACACCAAUAACCACAGGAUCCAGAUCUUUGACAAAGAAGGUCGGUUUAAGUUUCAGUUUGGAGAAUGUGGGAAACGAGAUGGGCAGUUGCUGUAUCCCAACAGAGUUGCAGUUGUAAAGGUUUCUGGUGAUAUUAUUGUUACUGAGAGAAGCCCAACACAUCAGAUCCAGAUAUACAACCAGUAUGGACAGUUUGUCCGCAAGUUUGGAGCCAACAUCCUCCAACAUCCAAGAGGUGUGACUGUUGACAAUAAAGGUCGUAUUAUCGUGGUGGAGUGCAAGGUGAUGCGUGUUCUUAUUUUUGAUCUUUUGGGUAAUGUUCAUCACAAAUUUGGAUGUUCCAAGCACUUGGAGUUCCCCAAUGGAGUUGUCGUUAAUGACAAGCAGGAAAUCUUCAUCAGUGAUAACAGAGCUCACUGUGUGAAAGUGUUCAGUUAUGAGGGGUUCUUCUUGUGGCAGAUUGGUGGAGAAGGAAUAACCAACUAUCCCAUUGGUGUGUGCAUCAGUCCUCUUGGAGAAAUUCUAGUGGCUGAUAAUCACAAUAAUUUCAACAUUACCAUUUUUACACAGGAUGGGCAGUUGGUCAGUGCUCUGGAAAGCAAGGUGAAACAUGCCCAGUGUUUUGAUGUGGCUCUUGUGGACGAUGGUUCUGUAGUAUUGGCAAGCAAGGAUUAUCGACUCUAUAUUUAUCGAUACCUCCAGUCACAAGGAAAUGUGUUGUGAUGCUGACUGGCCACAGGAAGAUGCACAAGAAUCAUUUGAAUGGAGGUUACAUUGUACAGGCACAAAGAUAUACUUAAAAACACCUCUUUACUGCAACCAUUGAGAGAUAUGUGUAAUUUUGCAAAUUUGAAAAGGGUGACUAAGUAUAAAGUGUAAGCAAAGUUUUUGAAUUAAGUAAAAUUAUAAAAAAUUUGAAUUUGUUUGUGAUGCUUCUUAGCUAGUUAUAUUCUGGACAACCGUAUAGUCACUCUUUUUCUAUUAGCAAUAAUAACUUGAUUUAUUGAGGAAAACUAGUGUUGCUAGCCUUUCUUAAUAGCAUAAUAUUAAAACAUUGAUUGAAUCAGAUCCUUCUAAUUAAUCAGUGAAGAAAUAGUUAUUUGAAAGUAAUUUUGUAAACAGUUUUCUGCUGUAUUUUUGAGAGAUUGUUUUCAGGAUUUUCUAUACUUUUUUAUGAUUGAUUAUUUAAUGUGUAAUAUAUUCUUAGCCUAGUUAGUCAUUUGAACGAUUAACUGAUCUCAUAAAAUAAACUUAAUUAUCCACAUUGUGUGUGUUAGUGAAGUGUAUGUGCUGUAAUUAGUAUUGAAGAAUAUGAUAAAAAAAUUUGUAAUAAUACUUGUUUGAUUCAAAAUGGUAGUAUUAUUAUUAUUAUAUGUUACAGUUUUAAUGAAGUGUUGUUCUGUAAUUUAUUAAAAUUUCAGAUUGUGAGUUUUCCACGUGCAGUAAUUCAAGGUUUUGUUGAGCAUUGGAACAGACAUUCAGUGUGGUGUAUAUGAAAGCAUAGGAAGGGUAAAAAAAAACUGCUCAGUUCCAGCAUUAAAUUAUGUAAACAUAUCUUAAUCUUAAACAGUUGAGUUAUUUAUUACAAAUGUGUUUUUAAAGUUUUUAUUUUGUAAAUUUCCUUGUUAAAAAAGCACUAAGAAUCUAUGGUAACAGAAAAACCUAAGGAGCAAAUUGUAUAUUUUUUUAUUAUUUGUUCAGAGAGCUUUACUUCUAUUUGUAGGAGUUUUAUAUAUUAAAACUAAACAUUGCUUUAUUCCUUUGAAUGAGAAUCAAGCUUUGUAGUAAACCAAUUUAUUUUGUAGAAAUAUUUGAAGAAUUGUUUUAGUAGUUUUGUGUGUUUUGUGAUUUUUAAUUUUUUUUUAAAUUGUAUUAUGUUAAAUUACCCUAUUUUGUAAAGGGAUUUUGGAGUUUAUUGUUUAUUUCACUGGUUAUUGCAUCUCUUUUUUUGUGGGUUCUAUGUAGAACCCCUCCCCAUCUAAGCAUGACAGACCCUCCAAAAAAGCACAGAUAUUAUGUGUUGGAUUAAUAUUAGAAUUUAAAAAGAGUAAAUUUGAAUUUCAUAUAUUGCAUUUUAUUUAAAUUUAUUUGUGCUUUAUAGAUUAAUUUUUAACUCAACUUCUCAAAUUACUUGAAGUGUAUACAGAUGUUUUAUUAUUUUUUAUAAUUGCUUAUUGGAUAAUUGUUAUAACUUUUAUCAUGAUAUCUAAAAACAAAUAUGUGAUGUUUAUGAUAUUGAAUCUUCUGUGAAGUGCUUAUGCCAGAGUAAUUUUGUUACUUGUGUAGACAUCAUGCUUUGAUGAAACAGCCACAACAAAUUGUUUGAUUGUUAAUUUAGUUUUUUAGGAAAGAAAGACUGUUUAUCACAAUAUUUAAUAUCAUUCCAGAUAUGACUGCUCAAUAGGGUGUAAAUUAGGCAAUACCCAACUGAAAAGCUGAAUUAUUUGAAGUAAUAAAUACAUAAAAUAAUUUUUGAUAACUAAAAAAAAAUACAUUCUUUAAAUAGUAGAGCUGUUGUGGCUUUCAGUAUUGUUAAGAAUUGUAGAAGAAAUUGGCUUCCACAUUAAGCGAGCAUGUGUGUAGUUAAAGGUUGCAUUUUCUGUUUCAUACUUCUUCUAAGGUGAGUAAUGAACCAGAAUCAGCCUUUCCUACUUUUUUAUACAUAAAAUACUUGUACUGAGAUAACAUUCCUUUUGAUAAACUAAAUGCCCUUCACUUUUUUUUAAACCAACCCUCACUUUAUAUUCCUUUUUUCUAUAGCUAAAUUGUAAAACAUUUUGACUUUUAUGAUGAUAGAGCAAGUAAGAAAAGUAAACGUGCAGUAUUUUUCUAGAUUUUAAAGUCCAGUUUACCUCUGUAUUUUGUGAUACAUUAUACUAAGUAUCAUUACAGGUUGUUGUACAUCAAACCUGUAAUGUUUUCAUAAUUAAAAAUGUCUAGUGGUUUAAAAAUGCUCUUCCCGUCACUGCCGAUAAAAUGUCGUACACAUUUCUGAAGAACUGUUUGAAACAAAGCAUACUUGGAAUUUGAAAACAUGGCAUAAAACCCACUUCUGUUUUCUGAAAACAUUGCAAACUGGGUUGUAGUCCAAAAUGAAAAUUUGAAGUUGCUUUUACUCAUAAAGUUCCUUUUCAUAUUCGAUGCAGAAUCCAGUAUCAAAUUCAAAAUGUUACUUGACUUUUCUACUCCUCCUGCAAGUUUUAUUUUCCUUAGUGGUUUAAAAAAUUGAUGAUAAUGUGGUGUUAUUGGAGAUUUUUUAUUGUGUUGCUUGACUGUAGUAGCAUUACAUUUAAUAAAGUAUUCUUGUUUUUGUC
rnacentral:misc_RNA from 1 species